UACAGAGGUCUCAAGCGUUGUUCGGAUUCAUUGGGCGUAAAGGGUGUGUAGGUGGCGCCGUAAGUCGGGUGUGAAAUUUCGGAGCUUAACUCCGAAACUGCAUUCGAUACUGCGGUGCUUGAGGACUGGAGAGGAGACUGGAAUUCAUGGUGUAGCAGUGAAAUGCGUAGAGAUCAUGAGGAAGACCAGUGGCGAAGGCGGGUCUCUGGACAGCAACUGACGCUGAGGCACGAAGGCCAGGGGAGCAAACGGG
rnacentral:rRNA from 1 species